rnacentral:tRNA from 1 species
GAUCCUGUAGUUCAACGGAUAGAACGAGGCACUCCUAAGGCCUAAAUAGAGGUUCAAUUCCUCUCAGGGUCACCA